rnacentral:rRNA from 1 species
GAAGGACGAUUAGAAGCUAGACAAUCCGAGCUACACAGUGACGACAUUAUCACACCGCAUAUAUGCUGCGAAUUAAAUUCCAGCUAAUGCAUUCAAGGGAAGCCGAUUGAAAACCAGCAAUCCCCAAGUCCAAGCUCACCCUUCAAUAAAGAAAGG